rnacentral:rRNA from 1 species
GGUCAUUUAGNGGANGUAANCGUCGUANCUANGCUNUCCGUAGGNGAANCUGGCGAAGGCUCNNNNGNGAAUUNUAGGGCGUCUACUUGUGNNGCCUGACCUCCACUUCUNACACUGUGCNCUUNAUGGCGAGGUAAUGGAACUUUCGAGUGAAACUACCUUGCGGCUUCAUUUUAAACAUUAGUCAAAGUAUGUAAUGAAAUAUUAAAACAAAAAAAAAACUUUCAACAACGGAUCUCUUGGCUCUCGCAUCGAUGAAGAACGCAGCGAAAUGUGAUAAGUAAUGUGAAUUGCAGAAUUCAGUGAAUCAUCGAAUCUUUGAACGCACCUUGCGCUCCCUGGUAUUCCGGGGAGCAUGCCUGUUUGAGUGUCAUGAACUCUUCAACCCACCAGUUUCUAGUAGACUGCGUUGGUGUUUGGAUUUUGAGCGUUGCUAGUCUGACUAGCUCGUUCGUAAUAUAUUAGCAUCUCUAAUUCGAAUUCGGAUUGACUCAGUGUAAUAGACUAUUCGCUGAGGACACUUUUAUUAGUGGCCGUACUAGAACCAGUAGAAGCUUCCAACUAUUGUAGUCAACUUUAGAUUAGACCUCAGAUCAGGCAGGAUUACCCCGCUGAACUUAAGCAUAUCAAUAAGCGGAGGAA